rnacentral:rRNA from 1 species
AGCGAACGCUAGCGGCGGGCCUAACACAUGCAAGUCGAGCGCAUACCUUCGGGUAUGAGCGGCGGACGGGUGAGUAACGCGUAGGUCAUCUACCCUUUGGUGGGGGAUAACCCAGGGAAACUUGGGCUAAUACCGCACGAGGUCCACGGAUCAAAGCCUUCGGGCGCCAGAGGAUGAGCCUGCGUCGCAUUACCUAGUUGGCGGGGUAACGGCCCACCAAGGGGACGAUGCGUAGCUGGUCUGAGAGGAUGAUCAGCCACACUGGGACUGAGACAGGCCCAGACUCCUACGGGAGGCAGCAGUGGGUAAUAUUGCGCAAUGGGGGAAACCCUGACGCAGCCACGCCGCGUGGGUGAUGAAGGCCUUCGGGUUGUAAACGCCCUGUCGGGAGGGACGAAUUCUUGACGGUACCUCCAAAGAAAGACACCGGCUAACUCCGUGCCAGCAGCCGCGGUAAU